AACGAACGCUGGCGGCAUGCCUAACACAUGCAAGUCGAACGAGACCUUCGGGUCUAGUGGCGCACGGGUGCGUAACGCGUGGGAACCUGCCCUUAGGUUCUGAAUAACUCCCCGAAAUGGGUGCUAAUACCUGAUAAUGUCUUCGGACCAAAGAUUUAUCGCCUUUGGUUGGGCCCGCGUUGGAUUAGCUAGUUGGUAGGGUAAAAGCCUACCAAGGCGACGAUCCAUAGCUGGUGUGAGAGGAUGAUCAGCCACACUGGGACUGAGACACGGCCCAGACGCCUACGGGAGGCAGCAGAGGGGAAUAUUGGACAAUGGGCGAAAGCCUGAGCCAGCAAGGCCGCGUGAGUGAUGAAGGCGUUAGGGUUGUAAAGCGCUUUUAACCGGGAUGAUAAUGACAGUACCGGGAGAAUAAGCUCCGGCUAACUCCGU
rnacentral:rRNA from 1 species